CUUCCCCCCUGGGCCCAUCCAGCCGAUCAGGCGGCUAAGAUUUCGAAGUUCCCGAAGGGCCGAGCCGAUGCCUUCAAAACGUUCUACAAGCAAUGGCAAAGGACCCAAUGGAAUCUGGGGCUUCUGAUGAACGAAGCCUGGUUGUACAAACAUGGCUGUGAGUAUCUUUCUGUAUUUCAUUAUUUUUCCUCCUAUUUUCUGAAGCUUUCCAUGCCUUAACCCAUUUGUCCCUGUGCAGUGACUAUUUUCAAGCCCGAGGGCGUUGUCGACGCCUUCAUCCCUGCCACCGUCACCCCCGGGUUCAUC
rnacentral:lncRNA from 1 species